AAAUUAAAAUAUUCUCUAAAUGGAUCAGUUCUACUACAACCCCAACCUAUAUACUGAUACUUCCUCUAACACUAACACAAUUAUUGAACCAGGGAGUUCUUAAUCACUCCCUAUGUCACCACUCCUCUAUGCAAUCAUUCACUGAGUUUGGAUGAUUUUUUAGUUCUUGAAUAUCUUCUGCACUUAUUUUGUCAAGUGGCAAAACUAAAACAAUUUUGUAGUGAAUUUGAUGUCCUUUAUUUAAGGGAGAGCAAUCCAUUUUUGGGGGAGUACAGCGCCGCAUGAGCAGUGAAACACCAUUUCCCAGGGAUUUUGGCAAGAAUGUGUAUUUAAGAGCAUUAUAGAAGACAAUGUGGAAACAGGGCAUGCUUGGUUAGAGAUCGGGGAUCUUCUCAUAAGACUAGCAGAUUCUAUCAUUUAGGGUAAGCUAAACUAGCUAAAGCUGAGUUGGAAGAUUGUGAUUAGUGUAUGUCAAGUUUUCUUGACAGUGAGGCUUUUAAGCGCCGGCUGACUGAGAUUUAGAUUUGUGUUGGGGCCAGGCCCUGGGCCAGCUGCUAUUUUGUGGGUCCCCAUGUACAAAUUAACUUUAUCAGUUCCUUCUGCAUUUUUCCUGUGGAGAUCCCUCAAAUCCAUCCACUUCCUUUCUGUUAGACUUAAUUUUCUGAAAUAAAAACAUGACUACAUCACUUUCCUUUCUAAAACUCCCAAAUGAAUCCUCAUAGCUUUACUGAAGUUCAAACUUCGUGCAUGGAGAAAACUCAAGAAUGCCCCUCUUGGGCAAGUCUCCUGUCCUCAGUUUUCACAGUGGCCUUCCUGGCAUGUGGCGUUUCAGUAAGACCAGAGGCAUUCAUGCAUUUCCAUGGCACAGGCCAAGCAACUUUGUACUGUUAUGCCUUUCUAAAUGCUGCUCCUCUGGCUAGAGCACACUCCUUGCCCCUUCUCUUCUGGACGCACCCUUCAAGACCUUCUUGGUGCCUCUAGGAAUCCCACACAAACCCUUCCAAAGCUGGGAUCCAACUUUUUUCUUUACACAUCCAGAGUACACUGCCCCAUCCUAUUGUUGCAACCUAUAUUGACACGAAUUGCCUAAACUUCCAUGCUGCCUUAGAGUUGCCCUAUAUUUGUAUCCCACAUGAACUACAUACUGUCUGAGACAUAGAAUGUUCUCUGCUAUGAUAAUACUGAAAUUGAGGGCUGCCAAAAGAUGAGUUUUGCCCCUUAGGGGAAUAUUUUACCCACUUCCAAAUUAUUUGAGCCAUUUUGAUUUAAAAUUCACUUACUGGGCUGGGAUUAAAGUAACUUUGGCUCAUUCUUAAUUAACUGUUUAACCUCUUUGGUCCACAAUUAUGUCAUUGUGACAGUUACUUGUUUUAGAUCUCUAUAAUUCAAAUCUAAAAUUUUUAUCUUCCUGAUAAUCCCUCUGUCCUUUUCUGCUACUCCCCACCCCCUUUUUCUGGUGUCUACUAGUUAAAGCUCUUUCUUAGCAAGCUCUCCAUAAGUCUAUCAUGAUUUUAGCUAGUUAUUUCAAAUAUAUUCCCCAAAGCAGUUACAUUACUAGACAGGACUCUGGAUGCCUGAAAAGUCUUAUAACCCCAAAGAUUGAAGCUUCCUAAGGAAGGAGGAUUUUAUAGUGCUAAUUAGCAUAUUGGACAAAGCAUAUACCAGGUACCCUUCCCUUCUACUUAAUUAACCUUAUAGCCAUUGGGUCUAUAACACCUAUUGUUAUAGACCCUUUGUCUCCAGUUCCUUUUGCUUUUUGUUAUUUCCACCAAUGGCUCUGGGGAUAAGAGUUGGGUGAAAACAGUCAACUAGGCUCCCUUGAGUUCUGAGAAAUUGAUAUUUAUUUUGAUAAGUUUAUUCAGAGAAUGGCAGGUAUCUAGGGAGGUAAACUGAUAACGGAGAUAAAAUGGUUAGGAUCUCUCAGUAGGACAGGAAUCCAUGUACACUCAGAAAGAAAAGAAACAGUUGUUCCUGUCUGUGUAAGGAAAAUCAUCUCAGUGGAAAUAGGUUGUUUACAUUUUUAAGUCAUCAAACUCCCUUCACAGCGACACCAUGCAUCAAAUAGAGAAGGGAGAAGGGAAGCUCUUUUUUAUCUAUUUAUUUGUUUUGUUGGUCCCUGAUGUGCACAAGGAAGGUCCCUUGAGAUGAAUCAUCUUGAAGUAGGAAAGAUCUUAAUAGCAAUAAUAACAACAAUGCAUCAGUGAUUCUCAAAUACAUCCACGGGCCAGAGUGUGCUUUUCAAAGGACAUUCACUGCUAUUUCAUCUCAUCUGAUCAGUGUGACAAUCUCAUGAGGUACCAAAGGUGUCUUUUAUUAUUAAUAUUUUACACAUUAGGAUCCUGAUGCAUGGAAGAUGCAGAGUUAUUUGUCCAGAAUCACAGAGCUAAUUAGUGGCAAUUAGAGCCCAAGUUUGGGGAUAAAUGCUGUCACAUAAAUGGAUUAUCUGUGCUGUGUACACACAGAAAUGCCCAGGACAUGGAGGAAACCCACUUCCCUCUCAUUUGGAAGUCUGGGUCAGUGGUUUUGGAGAUUUUCAGAUUCAUCUGGCAGUUCUCAGAAGAAGGAAGACAUGCAAACUGAGAAAUUUCUUAGGAGUAGUGUCUUGACUCUCAUGACCAUCUUAGCCAGAAAAAUUGGUGUAUUUCUUUUCCCAGGUUAGCACUGGGCUUGUAAAUUCUCAGAGAGAAAUUAAGGAUUUGUUUGGAGGCCUUGCAAGAAUUCUGAAUUGUUUCACUUUUUUCUUUAUGCAAAGAAGAGCAUCAAGAAGUGUUAGUGGCCUGACUCCUUGGGCCAUUUGUCUAUUGACCUGGUACCCAAAGAAUCUGCUUGAUGAAAGAAAAGGAAGGGAAAGUGUUGUCCAGGCACUUCUGCUAUCAUGGUCUCUCCUGCAUUUGUUAUUCUAUCAGCUUAGAGUCCUGAUUUAUCAGAAUUUUGGGGGUCUAGUACAAACUCCUCAUUCAACAGAGAGGGAAUUGAGACUCAGAUUGCUGUUUACCCAGAGUCUGGAGGGCUAGUUAAUAACAUAGGUGAAACUGCAGUCAAAAGAGCCAAUGAUAAUAGUUUCUAUACACUAUUCUCUUAGCAUCUACUAUGGCCUUACUACUGUGACAGUCACUUAUAUAUUUAUUAUUUUUAUCUCUCACACCUACAAAAUUGAGAGCUAUUAUCCUCAUGUAUUAGGAUAAGUUAGGCCAACUUGACAUGACAGAGUAAUAAUUAAGUCUCAGGAUAAUUAACGUAAAACAGAUUUAUUCUUUGCUCAUGCCUCAAUCUUGUGUGGAUUAGUGGGUAACAGGGUGGUAGGAGGUAUCUCUUCUCACAGUCAUUAUAAAGACAGACUGAGGGACAUCCGGGUGACUCAGCAGUGUAGAGCCUGCCUUCGACCCAGGAUGUGAUCCUGGAGUCCUAGGAUCAAGUCCCACAUCAGGUUCCCUGCAUGGAGCCUGCUUCUCCUUCUGCCUGUGUCUCUGCCUCUCUCUCUGUCUCUCUCUCUGUCUCUCUCUCUCUGUGUCUCUCAUGAAUGAAUAA
rnacentral:lncRNA from 1 species